GACGAACCGUGCAAACGUUGUUCGGAAUCACUGGGCAUAAAGGGCGCGUAGGCGGCUUAUCAAGUCAGGGGUGAAAUCCGGCAGCUCAACUGUCGAAGUGCCUCUGAUACUGAUGAGCUCGAGGGAGGUAGGGGUCUGUGGAACUUCCGGUGGAGCGGUGAAAUGCGUUGAUAUCGGAAGGAACGCCGGUGGCGAAAGCGACGGACUGGAUCUCUUCUGACGCUGAGGCGCGAAAGCUAGGGGAGCAAACGGG
rnacentral:rRNA from 1 species